rnacentral:rRNA from 1 species
AUUGAACGCUGGCGGCAGGCCUAACACAUGCAAGUCGAGCGGAUGAAGGGAGCUUGCUCCUGGAUUCAGCGGCGGACGGGUGAGUAAUGCCUAGGAAUCUGCCUGGUAGUGGGGGAUAACGUCCGGAAACGGGCGCUAAUACCGCAUACGUCCUGAGGGAGAAAGUGGGGGAUCUUCGGACCUCACGCUAUCAGAUGAGCCUAGGUCGGAUUAGCUAGUUGGUGGGGUAAAGGCCUACCAAGGCGACGAUCCGUAACUGGUCUGAGAGGAUGAUCAGUCACACUGGAACUCAGACACGGUCCAGACUCCUACGGGAGGCAGCAGUGGGGAAUAUUGUACAAUGGGCGAAAGCCUGAUCCAGCCAUGCGGCGUGUGUGAAGAAGGUCUUCGGAUUGUAAAGCACUUUAAGUUGGGAGGAAGGGCAGUAAGUUAAUACCUUGCUGUUUUGACGUUACCAACAGAAUAAGCACCGGCUAACUUCGUG